rnacentral:rRNA from 1 species
UACGGGGGGGGUAAGCGUUGUUCGGAAUUACUGGGCGUAAAGGGCUCGUAGGCGGCCAACUAAGUCACACGUGAAAUCCCUCAGCUUAACUGGGGAACUGCGUGUGAUACUGGAUGGCUUGGAUCCGGGAGAGGGAUGCGGAAUUCCAGGUGUAGCGGUGAAAUGCGUAGAUAUCUGGAGGAACACCCGUGGCGAAGGCGGCUCUCUGGGACGGUACUGACGCUGAGACGCGAAAGCGUGGGGAGCGAACAGG